rnacentral:rRNA from 1 species
UACGUAGGGACCGAGCGUUGUCCGGAUUCAUUGGGCGUAAAGAGCUCGUAGGCGGCCACUCAAGUCGAAUGUGAAACCUCGAGGCUUAACCUCGAGCCUGCAUUCGAUACUGGGCGGCUAGAGUCUGGUAGGGGGGAUCUGGAAUUCCUGGUGUAGCGGUGGAAUGCGCAGAUAUCAGGAGGAACACCAAUAGCGAAGGCAGCUCGCUGGGGACGGUACUGACGCUGAGACGCGAAAGCGUGGGGAGCAAACAGG